rnacentral:rRNA from 1 species
AUUGAACGCUGGCGGCAUGCUUUACACAUGCAAGUCGAACGGUAACAGGCCUUCGGGUGCUGACGAGUGGCGAACGGGUGAGUAAUGCAUCGGAACAUACCCAGUCGUGGGGGAUAACGUAGCGAAAGUUACGCUAAUACCGCAUACGUCCUGAGGGAGAAAGCAGGGGAUCGCAAGACCUUGCGCUGAUUGAGCGGCCGAUAUCAGAUUAGCUAGUUGGUGAGGUAAAGGCUCACCAAGGCGACGAUCUGUAGCGGGUCUGGGAGGAUGAUCCGCCACACUGGAACUGAGACACGGUCCAGACUCCUACGGGAGGCAGCAGUGGGGAAUUUUGGACAAUGGGCGCAAGCCUGAUCCAGCCAUGCCGCGUGAGUGAAGAAGGCC